rnacentral:rRNA from 1 species
ACGUAGGUGUCAAGCGUUGUUCGGAUUUAUUGGGCGUAAAGGGUCCGCAGGUGGCCUUGCAAGUCUGAUGUGAAAUCCCGGAGCUCAACUCCGGAACUGCAUUGGAAACUGCUAGGCUAGAGUAUCGGAGAGGAGAUUGGAAUUCCAGGUGUAGCGAUAAAAUGCGUAGAUAUCUGGAAGAACACCGAAAGCGUAGGCAGAUCUCUGGACGGUUACUGACACUCAGGGACGAAAGCAUGGGGAGCAAACAG